AGCCGGCCGGGCCUGGGAACGUGGCUGGUUGGAGGAGGUGGAUCACCGUUUCUGCGGUGGACGAUUUCGUCGGUGGUAGGCUGCUACCAUGAGGUUGAAUCAGAACACCUUGCUGCUGGGGAAGAAGGUGGUCCUUGUACCCUACACCUCGGAGCAUGUGCCCAGUUUUCCGUUUGAGGGUUCCUGGUGCCCUAACUUUGUGGGAUCUGUCCAGCCGCCUUUGUUGAGGUACCACGAGUGGAUGAAAUCAGAGGAGCUGCAGCGUUUGACAGCCUCAGAGCCGCUGACCCUGGAGCAGGAGUAUGCCAUGCAGCGCAGCUGGCGGGAAGAUGCAGACAGUGAGGAGUGCCCCCCACUCCCCCUAGCCCUGGUACUGGGAGGGCUGACUCCACAGUCAGUCUCCAGGUUCCUUCCCUUUCCCAGCCCUGGCCACAGAAACUUUGUGAAAAGCCUGGAAGGUGCUGGAACUCCUGUAUUCUCAUGGCCCUGAAGCCAGUCCCUGUGGCUGACCCUUCUGUCCUCUUCCCCACCCAUUGCAUCGGGCUUGGAAGGAUUUGGA
rnacentral:sRNA from 1 species